GUUAACUUUUACAAAAAUCUUCUCCUCUGAAACUACUGGGCCAAAUUAAACCAAACUUGGCCACAAUCAUCAUUGGGGUAUCUAGUUUAAAAAAAAUGUGUGGCGUGACCCCGCCAACCAACCAAGAUGGCCGCCAUGGCUAAAAAUAGAACAUAGGGGUAAAAUGCAGUUUUUGGCCUAUAACUCAAAAACCAAAGCAUUUAGAGCAAAUCUGACAUGGUGUAAAAUUGUUUAUCAGGUCAAGAUCUAUCUGCCCUGAAAUUUUCAGAUGAAUCCGACAACCCGUUGUUGGGUUGCUGCCCCUGAAUUGGUAAUUUUAAGGAAAUUUUUGCUGUUUUUGGUUAUUAUCUUGAAUAUUAUUAUAGAUAGAGAUAAACUGUAAACAGCAAUUAUGUUCAGCAAAGUAAGAUUUACAAAUAAGUCAACAUGACCGAAAUGGUCAGUUGACCCCUUUAGGAGUUAUUGCCCUUUAUAGUCAAUUUUUAACCAUUUUUCGUAAAUCUUAGUAAUCUUUUACAAAAAUCUUCUCCUCUGAAACUACUGGGCCAA
rnacentral:lncRNA from 1 species